rnacentral:rRNA from 1 species
CCGUGAGGGAAAGUUGAAAAGAACUUUGAAGAGAGAGUUCAAGAGUACGUGAAACCGUUCAGGGGUAAACCUGAGAAACCCGAAAGUUCGAAUGGGGAGAUUCACCGUUAACGGCGCUGGCUUCACGAUGGCUCUGGUGAUGGUCCUACGGGUUGCACCCUCGCGGUGCCUCGUUAUCCACGCCGCCAUCGCGUUCUAUGUCCGGCGUCGUCGACGUGCACUUCUCCCCUAGUAGGACGUCGCGACCCGUUGGGUGUCGGUCUACGGCCCGGGUGGGUGCCUGUCGCGUCGUCUCAAACGCACGCGUCAGACCCCCGGUCGCCCGACCGGCUGCUCGGCGGUAUUCCUAUGGUAUCAGGCCGCAAUUAUCAUUCUCGAACCUGCAUGCGUUCAGGCUCGUCGCCAGCUCGGUCAACGUUCUCUCUACCGGUGGUACGGACUCGUGCCGUCCCCGGGCGUGGCCAGCUGUUGGCGGACGGUGUCCUCGAACAGGCCAAACACAACUUCGUAGUUGAUACCGGUCAGCGACGCUAUUGCUUUGGGUACUCUCAGGACCCGUCUUGAAACACGGACCAAGGAGUCUAACAUGUGCGCGAGUCAUUGGGAAUAAAUAAAACCUAAAGGCGUAAUGAAAGUGAAGAUCGUCCUUAGCGUCGAUAUAGGGAGGAUGGGCGCCGUACCAUAUGGCGCCUCGCACUCCCGGGGCGUCUCGUUCUCAUUGCGAGAAGAGGCGCACCAAGAGCGUACACGUUGGGACCCGAAAGAUGGUGAACUAUGCCUGGUCAGGACGAAGUCAGGGGAAACCCUGAUGGAGGUCCGUAGCGAUUCUGACGUGCAAAUCGAUCGUCGGAACUGGGUAUAGGGGCGAAAGACUAAUCGAACCAUCUAGUAGCUGGUUCCCUCCGAAGUUUCCCUCAGGAUAGCUGGCACUCGUCCGUUCUCUCAUUUCGAACGUCUUAAGAGUCUCAUCUGGUAAAGCGAAUGAUUAGAGGCCUUGGGGCCGAAACGACCUCAACCUAUUCUCAAACUUUAAAUGGGUGAGAUCUCUGGCUUGCUUGAACAGUGAAGCCACGAGAUAUCGGAUCAGAGUGCCAAGUGGGCCAUUUUUGGUAAGCAGAACUGGC